UUUUAGAAAAUACUAAAAUUGGACCUGGGAGUUGGUCCCCAGCUGGAAUUGGGACUGAGUGAGCCCUCCCCAGGCCAACAGCUGGCACCUUCACUGCAGGAGCAGUUCCCUGGGCCGGGCCUUGAGAAGUGGCAGUGUCAGUGGGUCCUGGUAGAAUGCGGACAGUCCUCGGCCCCGUCCCAGGCCUGCUCAACUAGUUGCUCUGGGGGGACCUGCACAGGGACCACACUGUGCUGCUUCUGUGACUGCUUUCCCAGCUGCCUUCGCUGGUGCCACCUUCGGUCUCUGAUGAAGUCCCUUUCCUUUUUCGUCCCCCCCAAAACACCCACAUCUUCUGCUCCCCCAGUCGGGACCUCGGAGGGGUCCACGCACAGGCCUGGUUUCGUAUUUAGACCUUCGGUUUUAUUUCACUUUCCCACAUCACUGAGAAAGACCUAGUAUCCUUGGCUCACCUUUUGCAGGCUGAGCUGAGGUCAGGCUUAGCUCUGGGUGGCCCGACCACCUGGGCCUCUCUCCCUCCCUUUCAUAAUGAGCUGAUUUCCCCCAGGGUACAGCUUCUGGGCAGGGUGACCCCACCACUUUGUUCCCUGAGCCUUCCCACUAGGGGGGAAGAAACCCAGCUAUCAUUUAUUGAUCAUCUAUGCUAUGCACAUGUAUCGCUCUAAUUAUUACCCUGCAGGGAAGAUAUUAUUAUCCUGAAGCUAAGAGAUAAUCAGCAAUUUACCAAAGGCACCAGCAUUUAAACCCUUGUCCACCUAACUGGACAGCCUUUUUUUUCUCUUCACCAUACUGGAGGUGAGAUACGAAGGAUUUCUUUUCAAGGCCGUAGGUCCUAAAUACUUCUCUUUGUAUGUGCACAAAAUCUUGCAGAGAACAUUUUUUUCCCCCAAUUUAAAAUGUGCCGACUGUCCUUGGUGUUACAAACAUGUCCCAGAAAGUCAGGAGCUGGCCGAGUUGGAAGGCACAUAUGACGUGAGCCCGGCCAGGGUGCGGUGACGGGGAAUCCCACUGCUACUCACUGCCCUCCUGUUGAGACUUUCAGUUUGUAAACAUGUUUUCUUCCCCGCACUUUGGCAUCCAUCAUGACUUAAAUUCCAGGUUGUCAGCCCUUGUAGAAAGGAGUUCAGAUCUUGGCAUUAAACGGUGCCCACCGUGUGUGCAGGGCUUUGCCACCGCAGAAGGCUUCCCGAACCUCCGCUGAUCCACACAGCUGCCCGGACAGGAUGUCGGCCUCGCCGACGAGAAAGAUAAAGGCCAGAGUCUUCGAGUGCGAUCAGCCUGAACACCAGCCUGCUCACGGCUACCAGGACCUUCCUCUGUCCAGUAGCUCGUUAGCUGAGAGGCCGCGAAGCAAAUUGAGGCCGCAUUCAGGUUAUGGGAAAAGACCUCUCCUCCCUCCCAUGAUCUGGCAGUCCCUCUGCAAAUACUGCGGGACAUCUGAGCCCUGAGUGCACCGAUGUGUUUACCUGACCGGCCUCCCCACGACACCGUCUGCCUCAUCUGCCCCCAUUCUUCAGCGCGUAUCCCCGUCCCUGGCCGGUGGCAGACACUCCCUAAGGAGGCACUGGAUGAAGGGAUGCGUCGUAUGUCCUGUUACCGACGAGCCUCUUGGGGAGCACCGAACUCCUGCCAGGCCCCCGGCUGGACUUUGUUUCCUCUUACAAAGCACCGCGUGUGUAUUCCAGAAACAUCUCCAAAUCCAUACACGCAAAAGGAAGAAGCUAAAAAGGCUGCUGUUAUCAUUCAGAGGUGAGAGAACUGCUACUCGGGGAUGUUAUGUAACUCAGCAGAGGUCACACAGCUAAGUGACACAGAGGAGCAUCCCAAGUGGUGAAGACCAUUUUCCAUCACUGCUGUCCUCCACGAGCCUGUGUCUGGAAUGGGACCUGUCUCUUUGCGCUCAUGAACAGGUUGGAUGGGUAAGAUACCUGGAGGUGUAGCAGCCAUCUUGCAAGCAUGAGGAGACAAGUCAACAGAAUGAAAUGCCAGAGCAGAUAAGACAGAAAAAGCCUGGAUCUUUGAUAGCACGGUUGAGCUGUUCCACCAGCCCAAGACAGGAGUCUACAUCCAGACUUUCUGUUAUUGAAACAACGGCCGCUUCUUUACGUCACUCCAAGUUGUCUUUCAUUUGCAGCAGAAAACGUUUCGAAUGGAUACACAGACUUCCGCCAAAGCACAGCCAGUGUCGGGCUGUGUUGGGCUAGUACGGUGGUUAAGAGCCCAAAUUCCAGAGCCAGAAGUCCCAGGUUCCAAUCUCGGCUCCACUGUUACUAGGUAUAGGGCCUGGGCAAGUCAUUUAGCUCUUCUGUGACUCACUGGCCUCGUCUGCAAAAUGCUCAGCAAAGGUGUGGACCCGAGGCUCCACGUUUUACCCAUGAGACAACACUGAGCAGAGUUAAUCCGAAAUCACGCAGCUCCAGCUAGAAGUGGGGGAGCUGAGAUCUGACUCCACAUAAUCCCAGGCUCUGAGACCCUUGUUGCCACUGCACCAUGUCCAGCUGCCUGCCGACGGCGUGGAGACCUUGGGUGCGGCUCCUGGAAUCAGGUUGCCUGGGUUCCUAUCCCAGCUCAACUGUCAAACGGCAUGAUGAUCCAAGGUGCCCAUCUCUGAUGGCUAAACUGCGGCUCGGCCCAAAGGACCCCUCCCUGAGCUUCACCCGCUGGCCCCGCAUCUGGAACAAUUCAAAUCCUCGUGGCGCCUGCUCUGAACGUCGAGGCCACCCUGUCCGCCGGUGACCACGGAUUUCAUUUCCCCCCGAUUGCAGGCGUGUGGGCAGUUACAAGUUGAAAACCAGCAGCCGGCUUCAAAUACAUUUUCUUCAUGCCCUCUCUGAAGUACUUCCUUUUUCCUUUGACACCUUAACUCUGCCGCGCUAUUCCAGCAUGCUGAGAAUAGACUUCUCGAUGCCCUGCGGCUCUCACGGACAGAAUAACAGGCUUCCAGGUCCCUACGCCCCAAGGAAGAGACUGACCAGGAACCCAUGAAGGCUGGGUUCAAUGAGACAAGUACAUCCUUGCAACUAAAGGUGCAGGAAGUCAGCCAGGACUUCCAGGCGUGGAGCCUGGUCACUUCUGUCUUGUUCGUGGCUUAGAACAGCGCCUGGAACAUGGUAAACGGUUCAUAAGUGUUGGGGAGGAUAAACAGUCCCCUCUUGUGAGUGUCACACUGCCUGCUGUCCUCAGAGGCUCUGGCUUCCUGUGUCUCUUAGACUGUGAUGCCAUGAUGCCAACAGGAGGACACUUUCUGGCUUCCCUGGCUGCCUGCCAAGAUGCACUCAAGCCGUGAUGUACAGUCAACGGGGCACUUUUCGCCUCUGGUUUUCCAGAGUGGAGAGCACAUCAUUGCCAGGAAGUUUCUGCCUCACUCUUAGUUCCCCAGGGUGGCCUGCCAGUCACCGGUGUGGUACCUCAGACAAUGGAGAUGCAGGGGCCGUGAUUCCCUUCCUGUAUGUCAAGGUCUUCGACGCCCACUUGCGCAUGAGCUGGAAGAGGCGUGCCCAUCUCAGAGCAUGAAGAGCUGGCGAAGUCCCCACGGUUUCUCUCCGUCUCCUGGACCCACUUUCCCCUCUUCACAGUGGCUUCUUUGUGUCCCCCAAGGGGCCAUCUCCUGCCCCUCCAGCUCAUCUCCAGCUCGUGGCUUUGCUGACUCCUCACCUACCUGUGCUGUUUUCUGUACUGCAUAGAACUGGGUCCUCCAGGAAGACAUAUUGGAGUCCUGACCCACAGCAACUGUGAGUGUGACCUUAUUUGGAAAUAGGGUCUGUGCGGACAUAAUCUAGUUUAGAUGAAGUCAUUCUGGAUCAAGAUGGCCUCCAAUCCAGUCAUGGUGUCUUUGUAAGAGAGAUGGACAGACGGGGAGAAGGCCGUGUGAAGGCAGGGGCAGACAGGGGUGGGGACGCUUCUGCAAGCCAUGUGGUGUGUAAGGUUGCUGGCCCACCACAAAGGCUAGAGGAGGCCAGGAAGGACCUUGCCUUUCAGGUGUCAGAGUGAGCAUGGCCCUAUGGACACCUCGAUUCAAGACCUUCAUCCUCCGGAACUGCGACAGAAUAAAGUUCUAUGGUUUUAAGCCUCCCAGUCUGGAGCUUUGGCCACCCCAGAAGACCCACAACUCUCCUCCACCCUUCAGUCUCCUCCUCAGUGUCACCUCUUUGUUGAGUUACCCACCCGGGGCACAUUUUACCAUUCUUCCACCAGACCCUGAGGGGCUGAUUCUCUGCGGCUCUUUUGGAGCAGAUGUGACCGGGAAAUCAAUACAGCCAUUAGAUUAAUCUGCGGCAACCAUAAUGUCAUUGCAUCUUUCGCCCUGCGAUGUUGACAGAGAUGUCAGAGCUAGGAGGAGGGGAGGCGCCUCAAAGAAGGAACGGGGCCUCCGAAGUGAAGGGGAGACUUGAAACCCCACAGAGCCUCACUUAACGGACGAAAGAUUGCGGGUGGCUGCCUCUGGCAUCAUCGGGUCUUCUGUCAGAGAAUGCAGUGACUUGGCAACAGGCAGAGCAGGGGGACCUGGAAAGCUCGGACAUCGGGCAGCCUCUCGGGAGGAUGAACUCGGCAGCAAUGGAGCGGUAGCCUGAGCAGUGGUUCUUAUCCAGGGGCACUUUUGCCACACACCCCCACCCGCCCCACCCAAGAUAUUUGGCGAUGCCUGGAGACGGUGUUUGGCUGUCAUGACCUGUGUGUGUACGCAUGUGUGACUAGUGUCUGGCUCGUAGAAGCCAGGGAUGCUACCCAACAUCCUGCUGUGCUCAAGACACCCCCCACAACGAAGACUUUUCCAGCCUGCGGUAGCAGCCGACAGUGCUGAGACCCAGGAAGUCGGGUGGAGACAGAAGUGGCUGAGCAGCCGGUGACUACAUUUCCUAGCAUCCCUUGGGGCUAGGUGUGGCCAUGUGACUGGUUCUCACCAAUGGAGUGGGGACAGGCGUGCUGUGCCAUGCCCAGGUGCAAGGCUCUUAGUAAGUAGAUGGGCCUCUUCCCCGCCCCGCCCCGCACCCCCCUCACCCCCCAGGCUGGGUGAAGAGAACAGCAAGGUUAUUUGGUCUGGUGUUUUGUUUGUUCGUCAUAGACAUUUGUUUCUACAGAACAACUCAGAGGAUAAACAGAGGCACACGGCUAUAAUUGCCACCACAAUCUGCUGCUGAGGAGACAUGCGACCCGAGGAUAAGGGGCUGGGAACUGGAUGGGGUGUGUUGGGUCCCGGGAUAACUGGGGGCCCCUGUGAUGAACCACGCAGGGAUCCUGUCAGUCACGAUCUGACCCCCGGGCCUGAUGGUGACAGUGGAGCCACGCGGGGACCUAAAUCGCCAUGUGAGGAGAGCUGUCUGCCAGUCAGAGACACUCAGCUCGGACUUUCAUGAGAAAAGAUAAAGAAGCAAAUGUUCAAGGAGGCUAGCAGGCCGGAGUUCAAGCAAGGAUCGUUUGAGCAUCUCCUGGGAACACCAUUGAAAGGAUUCUUAUGUUGGGUGGGAGGCUCAUUCCGACGAGACACUGCAGCAGUUUUUCAACACACAGCUAAUUGCAUAAUGUAAGGUGAACCCAGGUUUUCAUCUUUGUUCAGCUCUCAGAUUCUAUUUGUUCCAUUAAAAACCAUAUUGGCUUUGGAGACUCAUUUGGCAAUAUCACACUACAGCAACUUUACUCCUAAUUAUACUCCCCAGAGAACUCUCAUGUGCAAAGGAGAAAUGCAGCAUUUGUAAGAGCGCAAAACUGCUAAGCCAAGUGUACGUCCACAGGAGAAUGGAUGAAAUGAACUCCUACAAAGAGCGUAAACGAACUAUAAAUAAGUGGAUUCGAGCGGCCUGUGCUACGUACAGAUGAAUCUCAGAAACAGUCUUAAGCAUCAAAGCCGUCUCAAAAAGGUAGAUAUCGGACGAUGUCACAAAUAAUGUCACAUAUUGUGCCAGUCAGGGUCCCAGUAGGAAACGAAAGGCGAACUUGGAACUCUGGAAAGAAGGAAAGGAAGGCACCUUUUCCAGGGGUGGUAGGUGUGGCGGACUGUUUCAUGGCCACAGAUUCCCACAUCGCUCCUUCCGUCCCGCGGUGGAAUCUGUUUUUCCAUCCCCAUUCAUCUGGGCUGGUUUUGUGACUUGUCUUGAUGAGAGACUGUGACAAGAGUGACUUCAGGUAGGUUACACCGGGCCUGAAGUUUUCUCCCUUCACACCUUUUUAAAAAGUGUUUUAUUUAUUUUUUGAGAGACAGAGAGAAAGCAGGGGAGGGGGAGAGAGAGGGAGACAGAGCAUCAGAAGCAGGCUCUGUGCUGUCGGCGUGGAGCCUGACGCGGGGCUCAAACCCACGAACCUCGAGACCGCGACUUGAGCCGAAGUCGGAUGCUUCGCCGACUGAGCCACCCAGGCGCCCCUCCGUUCACACUUUUGAAAUGCGCUGACAUUAUACAAAGGGGCCUGCACCAACCUGCCAGAGGCCUUGUGGACAGAAAGACCCAACCGCCAGCCAGCGCUGACCGCCAGAUGCGUGAGUGAGGCUGCCUGGGGCCCAGCCAGCCCCUAGCUGACCACGAGCGGGCUACCGAUAUAUGAGGAGGGCAGCCAGAACUGCUCCGAGCCGAGCUUCCUAGCUGAGUCCAGCUCAGAUUACCAACCCACAGGGUUAGGAACAAAACACUGGUUAAUAUUUUCAACUAUUAAGUUUUGGCGUGUUUCGUUGGGAGGAUAUAAUCGACUUAGAAGGGUCAAGGAACCCGGAAGAGGAGCUCGGGCGUUGAAGUACAGUGGCAAGAGGAACUCAGCGGGUCUGAAUGAAUCAUCGUGAAGAAGCAUAACUUGUUGAGGCUUCCCAAGACUUGGAAAGGAAUCUGGCCGACCUCUGUGUUGAAGCUUUACGAGACAGGUGUGAGCAGUAAGAGACCUACCGUAUAUUUUCUCUCCGACUCUUUGUUUCCUGGUAAUGGUGCACCUUCUCCACCUACACGAAGCUAGUCUGUGGUGAGAAAAAUCAGCAUUUGGAAGACCGGAACUUCGCUUGUCUCCUAAGAAGAACCUUACUUUUAUGUUGGGUGUGAAACCAGGAGCAUGUGCUGUGGCAGCAUGGAGAAGAGGGAUGUCAGGCUUCACUAGACCUGUCCACCCACAAAGCCAUUGUCACUUCAGGCAAGCCUUCUCACCAUUCCGGGCCUCCUGCUCUCUAACACGAGCAUUUAAAUACCCACCCACAGCAUUUAGAUGGUUAUUGCAAGUAAAAGAUGAAAUGAUUUCGUUGUAAUUAUUAUUAUGGUUACUUACUAUGGUCUCAGAGGAGAGUUCUUUAAGAUGCUGGAACUCUCUUGGGUCCAGGAGCAUGAGAACGAUUGUUCUUCUAUGACCAGUUCUUUCCAACUCUCCACAUAAAUCCAAACCAAAUGCAAAAGGAUAUAUUUAAAAACAUUUCUUACUUGACCACUGGGAGCUCUGAAUGGACUAGUGUAGAAGUUUGGGUCCUCUGAGAAGUACACACUAAGACAGGGUUAGAUGCCCAAGAGGGUCAUUGGAGGAAACACCUGUGAAGAGAAAGAGGGAGGAAGUAGGGGGAGGCAGGGAGAGACUUUAGACCCUGAUGUGGGUCUCACACCUGUGAAAGGAGAGGAGGAAGGAAGGAGACCAGGAAGAAAGAGUCUGAAACUGAAGUACAUUUCUAAGAUCCAGUGUUUGGACAGAGACCAAAUUGCCUAUGAGAGCAGUUCCGUGCCCCAGAGAAAUGAGCCUGGGCUUAUACCCUCGUCAUGCUUAGUCAUUGGCAGCCUGUGGGAGGUGUGACCUUGGCAUGAACACAAUGGCGGAUCCAGCACUGGGACAUUCAGUCAACUAUGUUUCCCAUCUCAGGAGACGUGAGCAGUACAUUUUCAUGGCUACCCAGCAAACUGUGAGACAUUUCCUCCUUGAGAACACAUCGUAAGGACUUUGAAAAACAAACCAGAACAUUUGUGAUAGUAUAGAUUUUGCACCCCAAAUCAAUGUUCCAUUCCCUUCUUUGACUUUCACUUCCCCCUCUGUUUCAGCUAGACCAAUCAUGUUGAAAACCCCACCCAGGUUUGUAGAGUUCCUCAUUUGACAAUUAAAAAAAAUUUAUGUGACUGAGUCACAUGCGCUUCCUUUGUUUUAUCUUUUCAAUGAGUUGUUUUCAUUUCUUGGGUUUUCUUUGAUUUCAUGUUUUUCCUAUCUUUACCCAUCCACCAUCGCCUGUUCAUACUGUAUUGCUGAUGCCUGAUGUGGUAUUUGUGGAAUAAAUGGACCAAUAAAUUAGUGAACGGGCUAUAAGAGUCAAACCUGCUUCAUGUCUGUGAGCUCCUUGGUGUCAGGGUCUUUGUCUUAGGGUGAUGACAUAUAAUGGAAAGACCAUAGGUUUUGUUCUAUGAUUAGACACAAAUCAGCUGUGUGAUCUUGGGCAAAUUGCACCACCUAUGUGAGCCCAGGUUUCUUUUUUUGACUACUCAAGCCAAUAAUAGUAUCUAUCUCGUUGAAAUGUAAAUGACAGAGUGAUAAUAAAUGUAAAGUUCUGGGCACAGUGUCCAGCACAUUGGAGAUGCUGAACAAAUGACAGGUAAUGAACGAAUGGGCCUGAGGAAUGUGUAACACAUAAUGUAAUACAUAAUACAUAACUCAUUAGACUUUGCUCCUUUCCCCGCCCUCCUGAAAGUCCCCUGUCCAUAUCUAGUCACAAAGGAUCCAGGCGAGAACAGGUAGAUGGAUAAAGGAUUGGAACAUAGCAGCAAACAGGCCAGUGUUGAGUACUUACUGUGUGUGCAGCUACUGGGCUAAUCACUGUGAGACAAGUGGAGAUGACUGAGGUCUACUCCACGUCCUCAAAGAGGUGGCAUUUCAACAUGGCAUUAGGUGUUUGAAGGUAUUGAUGGAUGGACACCUGGGGUGCAAGACAGCAUCAUUAUAGGAUGAAUAGGAAUAGUGUUUUGGAAAAUGUUGAGCAGACUGGGAUGUGGGGAAACAGAGGGAAAGACAUAGUUCGAAAGUUAGUUGAGAGGGGAAUCCAACAUGGCAGAGAAGUAGGGGGACCCCAAGUUCCCUCGUCCCUCAAACACAGUAGCGUUGAGGCCAGAGGACUUGGAAUUCCAAGAGUCCGGACUUCAGAGUGACAGAGACAUCUCCAGGAGCCCAUGGGGACAACCUGGUGGGCCAAUAGGUACGUGAUUGGGAACUGGGAAAGAGAAAAUGGGCAUAGGCACCACCCAUAGGAAGGGGAGGGAUUCCCUUCUGCGGACAGAGGGAAGAGAAAGAGAGGUUGUGCAAGUGUAGGACUGUAUUUGGACAAGUGAAAAACCACAGACUGGGGGUCAGGAAAAAAACAAAACGGAGAAAGAGCCAAUCUCUAACUGCAGGCUUUCUCCCGACUGGGGCCCCAGCUGCCCUGUGUGUGCACCUGCGGAGGAGGGGAGCCAGCCCCGGGCUCAGUACCUAGCUCAGAGGUGCAGUCCGCAGUGGGAGAAAGCGAUCCCCUCCCUGGAGUGCUGUGGGAAGAAGCAAGGUGGGGCUUCAGGGAACAACAGCGGGGGGCACGGUGGAGGGGGACCCCCUCUCCCCGCACCUGGGAACUAUGUAUCUACCUGAGAUCGACACUGACCAAUCAGACAGCCCCUCCUCCAGACCAGAGCUGCCACUGGAUCCAAGGCACCCAGCGGGGCUACUUUGAUGAACACAUCAAAGCACACCUGGUGGAGGGUCCAAAACAUCACUACAAGCACGGAGAUAAAGGAACCAGAGUCACAACAGCAGAGAGCACGGAACACACUCUGAAAACCACCUCCUGAGGGGCCGAGCCCUAGGCAGUGCGUGACCCCUCUUUAAUAUAGUAGUGCUCGCAGGUACAGGACACAUAACAAGCUUUUAAAACACAUAAGGGACAGAAAACUAGCCAAAAUGAUGACACAGAAGAAUUCUCCUCAAAAGAAAUUCCGGGAAGAAACGACAGCUAAAGAAUGGCUCAAAACAGAUGUAAACAAUAUAUCUGAUCAAGAAUUUAGAGUAACCGUCACAGAAAGUUAGUUGGGAUCAAACCCAUGAGGACUCUGAAUGUCCAGCCAAGGAAACUGGAUUUGAUUCUGUAGCUACUGGCAUGUCAAUAAAGGCUCUUGAAGAGAUAAGUGGAAUGACCCAGCUAGCAACUGGAAGGACGAAGUGAGAGUGAACACCUGAAAAUGGCAUGUCCAAAUAACCCCAAAGCAGUGAGUCCCCAUCUAUGGGCUGGUUCACACACCUUUGUCAAUUGCUUAUUUGUCAAUAAAUAAUGUCUUUAUUUUCAUUUUCAACCAAUGCAGGGAAUCUCUAAUAAUGAACCACUGGGCCCUGGCAUCAUUUUCACAUAGGAGGGUGAAGGUUUUAAUCCCUGUUGUAAGUGAGUUGACCUCAGUGGAGGGUACGGAGAUCACCCUUGUUUACCAAGUCACAUUUUUUCAAUCAGCUCGCAUUUUCUGAGCUCAUUACAAGUCAGGCACUGCGCUGAGGGCCAGGGUGUAAGGGCGAAGGCACCUGCCUGUUCUCGGCAGUCUUCUCAUUUGUUGGGAGAGGGACAGGCACGCACGUGACUGUGAGCCAAGAAUGGAACUGACGACAAGGAAUUGGAGACCUGGAGAAGUUAUGUAACGUGCUUACAACCACACAGCUAGUCAUCGCAAGACCGGGAUUUGAACCCACGCUUGGACUCUGGAGGCCAAGCCUUCACAGUGACACUCUGUUCGAAUAAUGAUCGUCAAAGAAGCUUACAGGUGGAUACUGCUUCUUUCAUAAGGACGGUCUCGCUUUGUCCAUGCAGCAGCCCUGUGAAAUCGAGGCUACCAUCAUUACUCCACAGGUGUGAAACGGGGGUCAACAAGCUGAAGAAACUGGUCCAAAUUGGCCCUGCGCCGGAAUAGUGGAGUCUGACUGUUGUGCCACUGGGCUGGGGACCGAUUACUGCUCCUGUGAUGUUCCUGGCUCCGCUCUGCUUCUACUGGCCCCUCCCUGGCGGAGCAUGCCCUCUCCGAGGACCCCAGUUGAGUCCCGGUGUGGUUUUGUUUGUUUUGACAGUUCUCUUUUCUCUCUCAUUCUCUUCAAUACUCUAUGAUGCAUAAAACUAAUUGUUUCUAUAGGCAUCAUGCGGUUCUGCAGAGCUUAGAGUGAGCUACAGUGGGCUUCUAGCCUGGGGAGGGUCACUGGCAUUUAAGGACAUUAUUGUUGGAAGGAUGGCUCCAGGUGAAUUCAACCUCUGAUGUCAAGGUCACCUCCUACCUGGGUGUUGAGCUCACCUUGAUUCACACUUCCUCAGAAGGAAACACAAGGCUGUCCAUAGAUGGAGUUUGCACGAAGUCAUUGCUCCCUGCAAAUUUUAGAAAGGCACCCUGUUUCCUGUUGUUUGUGGUUUUGAAUGCUCCAUCACCUGGCCUUGAUGAACCUGUCUAAACCCUCCAGACUGCAGUCUGUCACUUAUGUCAUUUUUUUCUCUGGGCUGUCAUAGCACCCUGUGCUUGAGAUAUUCCUUUGACUAGAACUCUCCUGUGUUAACCUUUGGCUUGGCUACCAUGGUUUCAGCUAAGAUGUGACCUAUCACACAAAAUCUUCCUUGACUUCCUAAACCGCACAUCUCUCCCAUGUCAUGGAAUCUCUUUGAAAAAAAGACUCUCUGUGGGGGCACCUGGGCACCCGGGCUCAGUCGCUUAAGCGUCCGACUUUGACUCAGGUCAUGAUUUCACGGUUAGUGAGUUCGAGCCCCACAUCAGGCUCUGUGCUGACA